CUGCGCUCUCCCUCUUCCAAGCACAGAGAUUCUCUCUCUACGCCACAAAGCCACUGCCAUGGGAUGGGGACAGGUGGCAUCAGCAACUCAAGACUGUCUUCCCUACCCUCUUCAUUGCCUCUUUCAACAGUAUGAAGUUAAAAUCAGCUCUGAAGAUGACAAUGCAUUCAAAUUCACCAGAUCACCCCCAGCUCUGAAGAUGACAAUGCAUUCAAAUUCACCAGAUCACCCCCAGCUCUGAAGAUGACAAUGCAUUCAAAUUCACCAGAUCACCCCCAGCUCUGAAGAUGACAAUGCAUUCAAAUUCACCAGAUCAUCUAAUGAAGUUUCACUUCUGUUUCUUAGCACCUCCCUGACUCUUCUGUUCCCUAGAGUGGAAGGAGGGUCUGGGAAAGGACCUUUGCCUGAAACUAAGAAGUCAACAUGAUACCCCUCAAUAUCCCACCUGGGAAGGGAGCUGCCAAUGAGCCGAAGCAGAUGGGGAGGAGAUGAAACUGGGCUAUCAGCUUUGCAGGCUGGAGCCCCCUCCUGUAUCUGCCUUAUCUUCUGGUAUCCCCAGCACUUGGCCCUUGGCCUUGUAGAAAGCAGGAAUGUGAUACAUGUUUGGUGAAUGAAUGAGUGAAUUAAUUAAUUAAUUUAAUAUAUUAAUUUGUAUCUAUUUCAAAUAGAGUCUGAAGCUCAAUUAAUACUUUAAAAAUACAGCUGGGCAUGGUGGCUCACACCUGUAAUCCCAGCACUUUGGGAGGCCAAGGCGGGAGCAUCGUCCAAGAGUUUAAGGCUAGCUUGGGCAACAUGGUGAAACCCC
rnacentral:lncRNA from 1 species